GACGAGGUUUCGGGAUUAUAAGUCACGGACUAGCAGAAGAUGCCUCAUGUGACCCUCUCAUGCAGGGGUUGCAAGUCAGGCAUGUGCAUACAGUAGAUAUUAGCCAUGCACUUUCACCAUUUCAUAGUAGAUCACAGAAUCAAGAUACAAAUCUCCAUGCACGGAAAGGAUUUAAGGCAUUGAUCAAUCCUGAACAUAAAUAUUUGACCAUCAAUGAUAUUUACGCACACAAGGUUUAUAUAACCUUUAUCCAAGGUGAUUUAUAUAGUAAGAUUCAUGGCUUAAGUCUUCAUGAUGGUCAAGGCCUUAAUUUUAAAAAUUAUCAAUUUUUUUUAACUUGAAUUUUUUUUAAUGAAAACUAUCAUAACAAUUUGUCUCUUAAAUGAAAGGAAAAAUGUAAAACUAAGUGGACAAAUAUCAAUCUUUUUAUUAUCUUUGCUGUUGUGCCCUCCCUGGAUGGGUGCUGGCACAUGAUUUCUUGCCUGCUGGUCCGUGGUUGCACUCUCACCAUGUGGAUGGAGCUCGGCAGCUGAAAAUGCAUUCUUCCACCAAGAUGAUUUACACAGCCUAGCUGGAUCAGGAGCCCCCUAAUAAGCUGCUUCAGAUUGUAAUAUAGACGCAGUAAUGUAUGCCUGCAGGCUGAUUCCCACCUUCUUCAUUAGUCUUGAGGUUUGAGAUUCCCUGUUUGUGUCUGCAGGAUUCAGAUAGUAAUGGAUAUCCUGCAAGCCGGCUUCGUAGAGUCUCCCUUGAAAGUGGACCUCGUGAUCUAGCCUUUAUGUCCGUGGAUUGACACUGUGAUGGAUUCCCCCCAAGUUCAUUUAGAUAUUCUCUCUUAUUCAUAAAUGUCACGGUCAGCUCUGUUCUUAUAGAUACCAGAAUGGAUACCCCUAAGCUGAUGUAUAUACACCCUUCCUCGGUUGCGAGAUUCCUGCUCUGGUGGUUGUAGUCAUAAGAUAUACAUCGUUGCGUACACCUUGGUUGUGGGCACGCACACUACUGUUGAAUUACCACCUUGUCCAAGUGGAUGGAUGCCCUCAAUGGGAUUUGGCACAUUCUCCAUUGCUCCUGCGCUCUGUUAUCAGCACUUCGGGUUCAUAAUGUACACACAGCAAUGGAUUUUCUGCAGCUGAUUUUCCAUAUUCUGUUUUCUUCGGAACAGAUGCCUUCCUCACUGGUCACCAGGUUCAAGGUCCCUCAUAUGUGUCAGGUGCAUAGUCACCAACAAAGGCCAACUUCACAUCAAUGGGUGGAUCGUACCUCGGCCUAAGCUCCAGGAUUGAUUGUGCUGUUAGAGUCACAGCUACAACCGGCUCAGGGAACCCAGUGGAAGAGGAGGUGGAGUGUGAGAACCAAUUGGAAUGGAAGACAGUGAGGAAACAAGGCCUUCAAGACACAAGAGGACUGCUGAGCUCACAGAGACUGAGGCAGCACCCUCAGGACCUGCACAGGUCUAAGCUUGAUGCGAUCUGAGUACUGAGAGGGCAACUGGACACAAUUCUAUAUAUGGAGUGACACUGGACAUAGAAACUACCCUUAACAGCAGACUCCAUGGCUCAGACUUCCAAUACAAUAUGAACUCAGUUGCAAUUUUGCAAGGUGUUUCGACUCAUAGUGCUUUGUCUGGGUACUUUUUCACCCUACAGAGAAUUUCUGUAUAUAUUAUCAUUUCUGAUUGUAGUGUUUUGAAUUUUCGCUGGGUCUAAAUAUUUCUGUCUCAGUGUCGGUAUGUGUUUCUCAUGAUUUUUCUCUGCUUCUCUUUUUCCUAUUCUUCUUUGCUUGUACUCCCUGGUUUGUGUUUUAGUCUCUGGGACUCUGAGGGUCUGGUUGGUGAUAUCGUUGUUCUUCCUAUGGGGUUGAAAACCCCUUCAGCUCCUUCAGCCUUUCACUAAGUUCUCCAUUAUUAUGAUUCCCAUGCUCAGUCCAGUGGUUGGAUGUGAGCCCCCCCCCCCCUGCAUUUGUCAGGCUCUGGCAGAGCCUCUAAGGAGAUAGCUAUAUUAGGCUCUUGUCAGCUUUGUUUGUUUUUAUUCUAUCUUCUCUAUGCUGUUUAUUUUAGAUAACUGUGUUUAUUCUAAUGUAUGAAUGAAUAAAUGGGUGUGUGUUUGGGUGGGUGGGGAAUUGGGGAGGGUGGGAGUGGAUGUGGGAGGGGAAACUGUAACACAAAUACAUUGUAUAAAAGUACAUUUUAAUAAAUGUAUUUCUUUUAUAACUAAAAAAA
rnacentral:lncRNA from 1 species